UAAGAUGAGGUUUAACCUUCAAAAUCAAAUUGCUUUGGGUUGUAUUGUUAUUUUGGCACCUUGUUUUAGUAUAAAAGGCCCAGCCGUGGAUAGUUAGGGUAUGCUUUCUUGUUCUCGGCCUGAAAAGCGAUCAUUCGACAUGCAUUCCCUGCUUAUCCUCCUUGUCUUGGUAGCCUUGGUGGUGUGCGCCAUGGCACAGUGGCCCUACAAUGCUGGCUACUAUUACAACGGCUAUGCCGCCUCCCCCUACGCACACAGCUAUUAUGGAGCCUACAACCCAGCCCUCAACUACUGGUGGAAGAAAUGAACAUUUCUUUUGAGAAUUCAAGAGAAAUAAGGACCGAACUUGGCUACGGAUUCAAAAUACUCACCCGUCGAAGAAUCUUAUGAAUUUUAAAAUCGCCUUACAGUCAAUAAAAUUUUAUCAAAGAUGUAUCAUUAAUAGAAUAAAUAUUAAAAAGAUUUUAGAUUAAA